CUCAUCUCCAGAAAACAAAAAUAGUCAAGACCAUCCUAGACAUUGUAAUUUGUAGACAACAAUAUGCAAAUGAUGAACCUCAGAAUGUGAUAUCAGACUAGAAUUUUUACUCAUUUAUGGCUCACACAGGUAUCAUCUUCACACCAGCAGCAACUGGCACACCUAACAGUCCAAUGAAUGAACUCAAGAACCACUGUGACAAAGUGAGAGGCGACGUAUUAGCAAAUAUACCCAGGAACUCAAUGAUACUGAUCUCAAACAGAACAAUGCAACAGAGGACAGUCACAAAAACGUAGUUAUCGAGUAUGCCUUUGAAGACAUUUAUUUCCUCAAUCUUCCGUGAACUUAUCAAAUUAGAAACCUGAAGGAAGAUAAAUGAGUUGAAUAUGAAUGUAUCCAUGAUUAUAUUAGAAUCUGGGCCAUCAAGACGUAAUAUUGCCUUUCCUUUUGUUUGAAGAUACCAUAUUGCUGUAAUCUGAUAAAAAGAUUGCCCAAUGAUAUUCCUCCACAUGACAUUAGUGAUAAAACUUCCUUUCCUUCCAACUGGUGAAUGCAUCAUUAGUUCAUUAUUAGGCUCGUUUGCAAAGGCAAAAGCUACCAAUGUAUCUGUGAUCAAGCCAACCCACAAGAGCUCAACAUCUGAAAAUGGAGCAUUCCCUGUAAAGAAAGCAGUAGAGACGUUAAGAAUUAAUGCAACCAUAGAAAC
rnacentral:misc_RNA from 1 species